rnacentral:rRNA from 1 species
UCCAGACUCCUACGGGAGGCAGCAGUGGGGAAUCUUCCGCAAUGGGCGCAAGCCUGACGGAGCAAUGCCGCGUGAACGAAGAAGGUCUUCGGAUUGUAAAGUUCUGUCCUUAUCGAAGAGAGGGUAUAGAGUGAAAAAUGAUAUACUAGGACGGUAGAUGAGGAGGAAGCCCCGGCUAACUACGUGCCAGCAGCCGCGGUAAUACGUAGGGGGCGAGCGUUGUCCGGAAUCACUGGGCGUAAAGGGCGCGUAGACGGUGAAGCAAGUCUGAAGUGAAAGGCGGGGGCUCAACCCCCGGACUGCUUUGGAAACUGUUUGACUGGAGUGCAGGAGAGGUAAGUGGAAUUCCUAGUGUAGCGGUGAAAUGCGUAGAUAUUAGGAGGAACACCAGUGGCGAAGGCGGCUUACUGGACUGUAACUGACGUUGAGGCUCGAAAGCGUGGGGAGCAAACAGGAUUAGAUACCCGAGUAC